rnacentral:lncRNA from 1 species
UCAUACUUGCAAAAUAACUCUUACAAUUUAAUUCUAAUAUUCAUUAUUACUGCAAUAAUAAAUUAGAUAUCUUAGUGUGAAGAUAUUUUUUACUUUCUUUUUCUCAACCAUUCCAUGAAGUUCGAUCAAUUUAAAAACAAUCUCAUGCAGUGAUAGCAAAGAUGUAAAUGUGUAUAUUAGAACAUAAAAGAGAACUACUCAUGAUGACAUUCACAAAUUAGAUGAGAAUUUUAUCUAAUUGUAUCUCCCACUAUUUUAAUAUAGUCCUCAAGUAUGAAAUCAAGGAACCUUAUCAUGAAGUUUCUUAGUGGGAUUGAGAUCCUAAUUCCUCAUCAAAAGCCUUCUGGAUAGCACAACAAGCUCCUAUGAGUUCAAGGAUAAGUAACUCUUUACUAAUUGCAUCUUAUGCAACUCUCAACAUAACUUUUACCUCUAAAAUAUUUAUAUCUUUGUGGAUAGUACAACAAACUAUAGUAUUUUAGUUAAGUCAUACUCUUCAAUUCUAUAUGGUCAUACCUGAAUAAUACUAUCCUUAUGGAUAGUACAAUAAGACAGCACUACCAGAAUAUACCAUAAACAUCACUAAGUCAACAUCAUACCAAUCACUAUAGCAAGCCUUGUGGAUAGCAUAACAAACUCACUAUAAUUUUUGACAUACUCUAUUGACUUAGUAUGAGCUAAGUACCAUUAGCUUCAUAAUGCAUCAAAAUAGUAUCAACUCAAUCCCCACAACAAGCCUUAUGGAUAGCACAACAAGCCUAC